rnacentral:rRNA from 1 species
ACGAACGCUGGCGGCGUGCUUAACACAUGCAAGUCGAACGGAAAGGCCCUGCUUUUGUGGGGUGCUCGAGUGGCGAACGGGUGAGUAACACGUGAGUAACCUGCCCUUGACUUUGGGAUAACUUCAGGAAACUGGGGCUAAUACCGGAUAGGAGCUCCUGCUGCAUGGUGGGGGUUGGAAAGUUUCGGCGGUUGGGGAUGGACUCGCGGCUUAUCAGCUUGUUGGUGGGGUAGUGGCUUACCAAGGCUUUGACGGGUAGCCGGCCUGAGAGGGUGACCGGCCACAUUGGGACUGAGAUACGGCCCAGACUCCUACGGGAGGCAGCAGUGGGGAAUAUUGCACAAUGGGCGGAAGCCUGAUGCAGCAACGCCGCGUGCGGGAUGACGGCCUUCGGGUUGUAAACCGCUUUCGCCUGUGACGAAGCGUGAGUGACGGUAAUGGGUAAAGAAGCACCGGCUAACUACGUGCCAGCAGCCGCGGUGAUACGUAGGGUGCGAGCGUUGUCCGGAUUUAUUGGGCGUAAAGGGCUCGUAGGUGGUUGAUCGCGUCGGAAGUGUAAUCUUGGGGCUUAACCCUGAGCGUGCUUUCGAUACGGGUUGACUUGAGGAAGGUAGGGGAGAAUGGAAUUCCUGGUGGAGCGGUGGAAUGCGCAGAUAUCAGGAGGAACACCAGUGGCGAAGGCGGUUCUCUGGGCCUUUCCUGACGCUGAGGAGCGAAAGCGUGGGGAGCGAACAGGCUUAGAUACCCUGGUAGUCCACGCUGUAAACGGUGGGUACUAGGUGUGGGGUCCAUUCCACGGGUUCCGUGCCGUAGCUAACGCUUUAAGUACCCCGCCUGGGGAGUACGGCCGCAAGGCUAAAACUCAAAGGAAUUGACGGGGCCCCGCACAAGCGGCGGAGCAUGCGGAUUAAUUCGAUGCAACGCGUAGAACCUUACCUGGGUUUGACAUGGAUCGGGAGUGCUCAGAGAUGGGUGUGCCUCUUUUGGGGUCGGUUCACAGGUGGUGCAUGGCUGUCGUCAGCUCGUGCCGUGAGAUGUUGGGUUAAGUCCCGCAACGAGCGCAACCCUUGUUCACUGUUGCCAGCACGUUAUGGUGGGGACUCAGUGGAGACCGCCGGGGUCAACUCGGAGGAAGGUGGGGAUGACGUCAAGUCAUCAUGCCCCUUAUGACCUGGGCUUCACGCAUGCUACAAUGGCUGGUACAGAGAGUGGCGAGCCUGUGAGGGUGAGCGAAUCUCGGAAAGCCGGUCUCAGUUCGGAUUGGGGUCUGCAACUCGACCUCAUGAAGUCGGAGUCGCUAGUAAUCGCAGAUCAGCAACGCUGCGGUGAAUACGUUCCCGGGGCUUGUACACACCGCCCGUCAAGUCAUGAAAGUUGGUAACACCCGAAGCCGGUGGCCUAACCGUUGUGGGGGAGCCGUCGAAGGUGGGACUGGUGAUU